UCCUGCUUAUACAGGCAGUCUGUCUAGAGUGCCCGGCAUUACCCGGUAGCAACUAGACACAGGGGUUGCGUUCGUUGCGGGACUUAACCCAACAUCUCACGACACGAGCUGACGACAGCCAUGCAGCACCUGUGUUCCCGUUCCCUUUCGGGCACAGCCCACUUUCGAGGGCCUCCAGGACAUGUCAAGGGUAGGUAAGGUUCUUCGCGUUGCGUCGAAUUAAACCACAUGCUCCACCGCUUGUGCGGGCCCCCGUCUAUUCCUUUGAGUUUUAACCUUGCGGCCGUAGUCCCCAGGCGGGGCACUUAAUGCGUUAGCUGCGGCACUCAGGGGGUCAAUACCCCGAACACCUAGUGCCCAUCGUUUACAGCGUGGACUAC
rnacentral:misc_RNA from 1 species